GUCCCGGGCGCCGCGCCUCGAUCUCACCGCGCGCCGCGG
rnacentral:misc_RNA from 1 species